rnacentral:rRNA from 1 species
CACGCCGUAAACGUUGAGAACUAAGUGUUGGGGAGACCCAGUGCUGAAGCUAACGCAUUAAGUUCUCCGCCUGAGGAGUACGCACGCAAGUGUAAAACUUAAAGGAAUUGACGGGGGCCCGCACAAGCAGUGGAGUAUGUGGUUUAAUUCGAGGCAACGCGAAGAACCUUACCAGGGCUUGACAUCCUCUGACAACCCUAGAGAUAGGGCUUUUCUACGGAACAGAGUGACAGGUGG